UACAGAGGGGGCAAGCGUUGUUCGGAAUUACUGGGCGUAAAGGGCGCGUAGGCGGCCUUCUAAGUCGAACGUGAAAUCCCCGGGCUCAACCCGGGAACUGCGUCCGAUACUGGAAGGCUUGAAUCCGGGAGAGGGAUGCGGAAUUCCAGGUGUAGCGGUGAAAUGCGUAGAUAAUCUGGAGGAACACCGGUGGCGAAGGCGGCGA
rnacentral:rRNA from 1 species